GUAGGGGGCUAGCGUUGUCCGGAUUUAUUGGGCGUAAAGAGCGUGUAGGCGGCCGGGUAAGUCCGGUGUGAAAACUCGAGGCUUAACCUCGAGAUGUCAUCGGAAACUAUUCGGCUAGAGUCCGGAAGAGGAGAGUGGAAUUCCUGGUGUAGCGGUGAAAUGCGCAGAUAUCAGGAAGAACACCCAUGGCGAAAGCAGCUCUCUGGGACGGUACUGACGCUGAGACGCGAAAGCGUGGGGAGCGAACAGGAUUAGGUACCCUGGUAGUCCACGCCGUAAACGAUGGGUGCUAGGUGUGGGCGGUGUCGACUCCGUCCGUGCCGAAGCUAACGCAUUAAGCACCCCGCCUGGGGAGUACGGCCGCAAGGCUA
rnacentral:rRNA from 1 species